ACAAAGUAAUAGGUGGAGCUGUAUAAUGUCCUGUAUGAUCUGUAAAACAGAAUAAAUGCAAAAUAGCGUAGAAUGUCUGUACAGAUAAAUAUUAUAAAAGUAGAAAAAUGGUUGAACUCACAUGACUAGAGUCAUACCGUCAUAUGACUCUAGAGGUAUGCUCCUUUGGACCAUUGGGGGGUUGUCCAGACCCUUCUAUCGUUGGUUGCUGGAUUUAUUCUGUUUUACAGAUCAUACAGGACAUUAUACAGCUCCACCUAUUACUUUG